rnacentral:rRNA from 1 species
AUGCAUCUCGAUAGAUCAUGCUCCGUUACCCUAUACCUUAUUAUUGUCGGAAUCGUUCCCACGACAGUUGGCGCCCACCGUGGGGCUUGGCGUCUAUCAAGCCAUGGUGCAAAUGGUUCUUUCUUCAAUCUUCGGCAGCGGAUCAACGACCAUUGCCAGAGAAAUUGGCCGAUGGAGUUCUGGCGAUUGCAACAUUCGUACAAACAAAAGAAUCAAGGAAGUAUCCAUUCCAUAUACUCUUUUUACAAUAAAUUGUCUAACAACAGGUUUGUCUUUUCCUCCUGUAGGAUCAGAUGCACCCAUGCAUAUCAUGAAGCAGAGAAGAAGAGAAAAGAACAACUCGUUUCCCAUAUUUCUUGCCUUCUUCCGAGAUCAUCAUCAACGGUGACCGCAAAAUCGGCCAUCGACGUGAUCCGUCCUCGUCCUCACCGGCCUUGUGUCUGGCACCGUCGUUGA